rnacentral:rRNA from 1 species
UACAGAGGGUGCGAGCGUCAAUCGGAAUAACUGGGCGUAAAGGGCGCGUAGGUGGGUAGAUAAGUAAGUUGUGAAAUACCUGGGCUUAACCUGGGGGUGCCGGCUUAGACUGUUUAUCUUGAGUACAGUAGAGGGAAGUGGAAUUUCCGGUGUAGCGGUGAAAUGCGUAGAUAUCGGAAGGAACACCAGUGGCGAAGGCGACUUUCUGGACUGAUACUGACACUGAGGCGCGAAAGCGUGGGUAGCGAACAGG